rnacentral:rRNA from 1 species
GAGUUUGAUCUUGGCUCAGAUUGAACGCUGGCGGCAUGCCUUACACAUGCAAGUCGAACGGCAGCAUGAUCUAGCUUGCUAGAUUGAUGGCGAGUGGCGAACGGGUGAGUAAUACAUCGGAACGUGCCCUGUAGUGGGGGAUAACUAGUCGAAAGAUUAGCUAAUACCGCAUACGACCUGAGGGUGAAAGUGGGGGACCGCAAGGCCUCAUGCUAUAGGAGCGGCCGAUGUCUGAUUAGCUAGUUGGUGGGGUAAAGGCCCACCAAGGCGACGAUCAGUAGCUGGUCUGAGAGGACGAUCAGCCACACUGGGACUGAGACACGGCCCAGACUCCUACGGGAGGCAGCAGUGGGGAAUUUUGGACAAUGGGCGAAAGCCUGAUCCAGCAAUGUCGCGUGUGUGAAGAAGGCCU